AUGUUUCCGUUUCAACGAAAACAACACAGCUUCAUCGUGAUUGUCACAGCGAUCGCUUGUAUUUUACAUCUUUAAAACGACCUGAUGUCAGAAGAAGAAGAUGCCCUGGAUCUCCUGAUGCAGGAUGACUCAAACGAUCAUGCAUUCAGUAUAAAUACGUACAUGGUAUUGACACCCCAAUAUUUAGUGAGAAGUUCCCAAGUAUCAUCCGCUAGCGACAGUCUACUGGCAAAUCCAGACAUGCAUUGGAAGGAUGCUGAUGUGGAGGACACAGGAACACCUGAUCCCAGAACUGUGGCAUUUCAUUCGGGGUGACAACCUGGCUUUCAGUUGAUAUGGGACCCUAUUAUUCGGAGAACUGCAGAUUUUAUGAAGCUGUCUUUGACAGAAGAUUUGGUUUUCUCCAUCUGUGUUGCCACCAACCAUUAUGCUGAGAUGGUCAUAUCUAGGGGGAAGGGUUGCCAUAUACUUCCCAAGGAAGUUUGCAGCCUCUCACUGAAGAGGAACUGUACAGAUUUUUGUGCAUUAUCUUAUACACGCCUGCUGUGAAGUUCCAGUCGAUAGACAGAUAUUGGUCAACGCAUGCCCAUGUCGGAACAACUCAUUAUCAAGAAUUAUGUCUAGAAAUAGGUUUCAAGAGGUUGAAUAUAAGAACAUUUUUGUUAAAUAUGAUGCAAGUACAUUUAAAUCUAGUGAUUGAAAGUAAGUACUUGAACAUUCGUAUAUGUUGAACUUGGAGAGGAAAAAUGGUUAGUACUUUUUGAUAACAUUUGAUAAGGUGUUGUUGCUUAGCAACCAAAUAUAAUUGAAUAAAAAAAUAUAUUAUUUUUAGAUUAACAAUAAUUGAAAGAUCUUUGUUUUAAUGUUGCAAUACUUAUUCUAUUUAAUGGAACAUAAUGGCAAAACGUCAAAUUAUUAGAAAAUGAUGGACAAGUAUAUAAAGUACGAAGUUUCCAUUUGAUGACCUUUGACCUUAAUUCUCUUCAUCAUAUUUUUUGUUAAAAACCUUUUAAAAUGAUUAAGAUCUAUUUAAAGAUUAUAUUUUUAAAAUAAUGUGACAUUUACUAAUCAUCAUGGAUUGUAAUUACGUUUAAAUUGUGUCGAAUGGAUGCAGAAAGGCAAAUUAUGGUCAAAAUUGUACUAUGAGUGUUGUUACUUAGCAACCAAAAAUAUUUGUUUGUCAAUAAAAUUGAUUAGUUUGA